AACGAACGCUGGCGGCAGGCUUAACACAUGCAAGUCGAACGGAUCCUUCGGGAUUAGUGGCAGACGGGUGAGUAACGCGUGGGAACGUACCCUUUGCUACGGAAUAACUCAGGGAAACUUGAGCUAAUACCGCAUGUGCCCUACGGGGGAAAGAUUUAUCGGCAAAGGAUCGGCCCGCGUUGGAUUAGCUAGUUGGUGGGGUAAUGGCCUACCAAGGCGACGAUCCAUAGCUGGUCUGAGAGGAUGAUCAGCCACACUGGGACUGAGACACGGCCCAGACUCCUACGGGAGGCAGCAGUGGGGAAUAUUGGACAAUGGGCGCAAGCCUGAUCCAGCCAUGCCGCGUGAGUGAUGAAGGUCUUAGGAUUGUAAAGCUCUUUCACCGGUGAAGAUAAUGACGGUAGCCGGAGAAGAAGCCCCGGCUAACUUCGUG
rnacentral:rRNA from 1 species